CACACAUCAAAGUAAGAUUCUGCUCUUAGUCUUCUGUAUAAGGAGAUCCCGUAGUGCAUAAAUCAAGCUUUCUGAAAACUGGGAGAAGAGUGAAGCGAGCUCAGGUGCUCCAUUUCGGACCUCUGAAGCCAAAUGCAGCAGGCAUUGUUCAGCCACAUCUAGAAACCUGAUAUCCCCUGCUAGCUGCAGGAAAUGGGGCAUACUGUGCUUACAGAGGCCAAGCAUAGUUUGCCUGAGUCAUGAUCAUGUUAAAUUUUUGCUAAGUAGAAAUGGAAAAAGGAAAGGGAGAGAAGGGGAAAAAGAUUCCAUGUAAUUACUUUUUUUUCCUCAUAUUAGAAAAAACUUCUAAUGCUCCGAACAGGGGAAUCUGUGUUCCCCAUCCCCCCAGAGUAACUUACAAAAUCUCUUCCAAGUGAAGUCUAAUCUUACCCUUUGGAACUGGCUUAAGGGCACUAGAGGAAUUAUGGUAUUUCAAGCAUUUGCUUGCUGUUGCCUAUAGAGGAAUUUCUGGUAAUCUCCUAAGAACUCUUUGACAUCAGAUGCUUGUGACUAAUGGACACAACCCUACACUGGAAGAACGCUCAGUGGAGACAGGCAAAGAUGAUGUGCUCGUGAAGCCCUCUGAAUAAGGGCCCACAGGCUGGAUGGGAGCUUCACAGAAUCAUAAGGAUUGGAAGGAACCUCCAGAGAUUGAGUCCAACCCCCCGCCAAAGCAGGUUCCCUACACCAGGUCACACAGUCAAAAAUGAGCCCUGUGACUGACAAUGGAGAGCCCAGCUCUGCCAGAGUGCUGGAGAUCCUCUGCUCCAUGUCCAAGGAAGAGUGGAGGACAGGCAACAUCAUGCUGUGUGCAGAAGCAGACAGAGCAGCACCUUCUUGCUCCAGCCUGUGCAUCAGAGCUGCCAUCUACCUCAUGUGAACACCUACUGGGAAAUUCAGACCACCUGGGGAGGUAGCACAGCAAACAGGGAGGCUUUGGACUGGAUGUGAAGUUUUUGAGACCUCAGUAUAUCAUGACUUGCAGCACAUGACUUGCAGCACAUGAAUUGCAGCACAGCUUUUCAGCCUACACUUGUACUGGAAGAAACAUUCCAUGUUUAUUCAGGAAUGGGUCACACUGCAUUUAAUUCUUGAUCAAAUGCACAAUUUGAGCAAGGGCAGAGGCUGAGGAUGUGAGCCUGCUCCCACAGAUCAUCUUCUGUUGUAAGCUUGGCUCCUGCUCUAGGCUUCAUAGAGGAGGAGUAGGAAAUCCCUUCCUUCAAGCAAGGCCAGGUAGACCAGAGUCAACAAAAGGACUUUUCUUUCCAUGGCAUCCUGUGCCUGAGCACAAAUCACUGAUGAAGCUGCUGGAUUUUGCCUGCAUGUGGACUUUGCCAGCCCUGCCAUGGGAGAAGCAGAUAGGUGGAGGGCUCUGAGUUGACUUUGAGGACCAAGAACCUCUUCACCACUGCAUCACGUUGUACAUCCUAGUUGAGGCACUGUCUGUCCCAAGCACAUUGCCAGUGGAGAUUCGGCCUUGUAACUCCAAUUUCACAUGCUAAGUAACAAGGAAUCUACCUAUAUCUACUCUACCUUUUGUGCUUGUCUCUUUUUUUUUUUUCUUUUUUUUUUUUUUCCAGGAGAUGCCUGUUUGUGGCUUCCCACAUUCAAAGAAGAAAUUGCAUAUCUGGGCACAACAUGAAAUCUCUUUCUUUUGCUAUGUUUAUCACUCUAAAUGUCAGCUGCUAAAAGAGCAGAUGGCCUGGAUAUGUAAACUUUAUUACAGGUAACAGAAGAGGGGCUGUAGCAGAUGAGAACAUGCAGUGCUCAUGUUUUUGUAAAUGGACAGCUGGUUUCUUUAAAAUAGGAAGAAGAAAGGUCUGGCUUUCACUUGGAAUGCUGAGAUGGCCCAGAGUUUCAGAUAUAAUUUGCACCAUCAGGCACAGCAUACAGUAAUCCUCCAUGAUGAUGUUUUAUGCCUUGGAAUCAGUUCUGCCUGUUCUGAUUCUUGUCUGUGAGUAAUGGGAGAUGGCAGUGCCAGAGUAGAAAGGAUUACCUGUGCUGUUAACUCUGCUGUAUUGGCAAUUCCUUCUCAUCUUAUCCUGUUUUCUCUUAUCAAGCCUGUUUCUUUUUCUUUUGUUGGAGUAGUUUGUGGAAUAUAAAGGAAUAACAUUAACAUGUUAUUUCUCUGAUUGUCUCCUCUGUAUAUGCAUGCACCAGGAGUGCAUGUGCUGUGUUCAAGGACUUCUAAAUGUCGCACAGUUGAACCACAGCACUUCAGCCAUGUGACACUUGCAAGCUGCAUUCAUGUGUAGCACAUGCCUUCCCUUAGUGCAGAACAGAUGUCAUUUCCCUUGGAAGAUCUCCUUCCGGAUUCCUGAAAAUGAAGUUGGGUAAUUUUCUUUUAAGAGCUUCAGGUUAAUAAGUAUGUCCUCAAACUGCAUGAAAGACAUGAAAGGCAGCAAGUAGAUGUUUCUGAGAUAUUGAUCUUCCUUCCCUCCCAAAUAAAUUAUGUUAAGUAGCUGCUCUUAGGGUGAUAGUUUCAGUGUGAAAUGCUGCAGUAGUUAUGUUCCCUUUUUCUAUAAUAGAGAGGCCUUGCAGCUGAAUCCCACACAAGACAAGGAAUAUCAUCCUUUCUCAAGCCUGCUCAACGUUCUUGAUACCUGGCAUACUUAUAGAAAUUACAAAAUACUUCCUGCAAUGCUAUUCAGCAGAAAAUAGCAAUAAAAAAAGAUCAUACUUAUAUCUCCUUUUCUGGCUGUAUGUCACCUGAACUAUGCUGCUGGGUGAACUGAGAUGACUGUGAAAGGAAACAGUGUUCUUAAGUCGUCAGGAAAACAGGUAGAGAGACACAAUUGUCAUCUACUUUUAGUAUAAUGCUUUUUACGCCGAAAAGGAAAUGUAGACUUGAGCAAGCAUGAAGCAGAAAGAAAGAAAUUUAUCAACUAAAAUGCUUGCAUGACUGUUACGAUGCCUGGGGAAAAAAAAGAGCCAUUUUCUGACAUAUGAAAUCAGUACUGCACCUUUAGCAUAUAUUUCACUUUGCCUUAAAAAGAAACGAAUACUGUUUUGAAUUAAACGAGAUGUUUGUACGAUUACA